rnacentral:rRNA from 1 species
GACGAACGCUGGCGGCGUGCUUAACACAUGCAAGUCGAACGGAAAGGCCCUGCUUUUGUGGGGUGCUCGAGUGGCGAACGGGUGAGUAACACGUGAGUAACCUGCCCUUGACUUUGGGAUAACUUCAGGAAACUGGGGCUAAUACCGGAUAGGAGCUCCUGCUGCAUGGUGGGGGUUGGAAAGUUUCGGCGGUUGGGGAUGGACUCGCGGCUUAUCAGCUUGUUGGUGGGGUAGUGGCUUACCAAGGCUUUGACGGGUAGCCGGCCUGAGAGGGUGACCGGCCACAUUGGGACUGAGAUACGGCCCAGACUCCUACGGGAGGCAGCAGUGGGGAAUAUUGCACAAUGGGCGGAAGCCGGAGGCAGCAACGCCGCGUGCGGGAUGACGGCCUUCGGGUUGUAAACCGCUUUCGCCUGUGACGAAGCGUGAGUGACGGUAAUGGGUAAAGAAGCACCGGCUAACUACGUG